rnacentral:ncRNA from 1 species
AACUCGAAGCCAAGGUUUGGUCCUAGCCUUACAAUCAACUUUUUCUGAACUUACACAUGCAAGCAUCCGCACUCCUGUGAAAAUGCCCUUAAGCCUCUUUAACAGGGGAUAAGGAGCUGGUAUCAGGCACUACUUUAAGCCCAUGACACCUUGCUAUGCCACACCCACAAGGGAAUUCAGCAGUGAUAAACAUUGAACAUGAGCGAGACAAAGCUCGAUUCAGUUACAGUUUAUAGAGUUGGUCAAUCUCGUGCCAGCCGCCGCGGUUAUACGAGAAACUCAAGUUGAUUAUUUUCGGCGUAAAGCGUGAUUAAGGUGACUACUAACUAGAGUCAAACUCCAACCAAGCUGUCGCACGCUUUCGUUGGUCUGAAGAACAUUCACGAAAGUAACUCUACCCCCCCCCCCCACUUGAAUUCACGACCGCUAGGAAACAAACUGGGAUUAGAUACCCCACUAUGCCUAGCCAUAAACUUUGACUAUUUACGCAAAAAUCCGCCAGGGAACUACGAGCCUAAGCUUAAAACCCAAAGGACUUGGCGGUGCUCCAAACCCACCUAGAGGAGCCUGUUCUAUAAUCGAUACCCCUCGCUAAACCUCACCACUUCUUGCCAAACCCGCCUAUAUACCACCGUCGCCAGCCCACCUCGUGAGAGACUCCUAGUAGGCUUAAUGAUUAAGCAUCAAUACGUCAGGUCAAGGUGUAGCAUAUGAAGUGGAAAGAAAUGGGCUACAUUUUCUAUUCCUUAGAAUAAACGAAAGAUCUUUAUGAAAUCAGAUCGGAAGGCGGAUUUAGCAGUAAAGAGAAACAAGAGAGUUCUCUUUAAAAUGGCCCUGGAGCGCGCACACACCGCCCGUCACCCUCUUCUACAAAUUAUAUAAUUUAAAUAAACACAUAACAAAUACUAAGAAGAGGCAAGUCGUAACAUGGUAAGCACACCGGAAGGUGUGCUUGGAACC